AGUUAAAGGUCGUGAAAGACAGACUGAGGAGUUCUGAAUGAAGGGGACAGAGCUGACAAUACAUGGGAUCCCAAACCAGCAUUGGCGAUAAAUUCCAAACCGCUUUCAUAUAGCUGACCUUCACAGGACUCCGGGAACGGACAGGGACGG